rnacentral:rRNA from 1 species
CAGAGGGGCUAGCGUUGUUCGGAAUUACUGGGCGUAAAGGGCGCGUAGGUGGCCUGUUAAGUCGAACGUCGAAAUCCCCGGGCUCAACCCGGGAACUGCGUCCGAGACUGGCAGGCUCGAAUCCGGGAGAGGGAUGUGGAAUUCCAGGUGUAGCGGUGAAAUGCGUAGAUAUCUGGAGGAACACCGGUGGCGAAGGCGGCAUCCUGGACCGGUAUUGACGCUGAGGCGCGAAAGCCAGGGGAGCAAACGGGAUUAGAUACCCCGGUAGUCCUGGCCCUAAACGAUGAAUGCUUGGUGUGGCGGGUAUCGAUCCCUGCCGUGCCGAAGCUAACGCAUUAAGCAUUCCGCCUGGGGAGUACGGUCGCAAGGCUG